AUGAGGUCACGCUACAACAAGAAAAGAAUGAGAGUUUGUGGAGAGUGUAGCACUAGAACAAAUACGAGAAUUGAAUUAGACAAGUACCUAGCUGAGGAUACCCAAGAGUUGACUGCUGAAUUUGACCUUCUUGAGUGGUCGAAGUGCAACGCUGCUCGCUUUCCCGUCCUUCAAAAAUGGCCCAUGAUAUACUGGCAAUCCCCAUCUCAAUGGUUGCUUCUGAAUCAGCUUUUUGCACUAGUGGUCGUAUUCUCGAUGACUUCAUAA
rnacentral:rRNA from 1 species